rnacentral:lncRNA from 1 species
GCGGCCGCCAAGUGGCCGCGGUCAAAGCCACUGCCGCGGUAGUCCGCAUUGGUGGCGCGGUGGUACGCGUGCACAGAAUCGUCCUCGUGGAAGUCGCAGGCGCGACGGUCCCCAUCGCCACGGAGCCGCUCUGGCCUCAGCUGCUCCAACACCCAGAGCGCACCGCGCGUGCGCGGGUCGUAGCUCAGCACGUAGGACUCGCGGCUCCGGAGCUGCGCCACGCCGGGCAGCCCGUACUUGGCCAACUCUCCGGUGCUGCCAGCCGGUCCCCCCGGCAGCGCGGGAAGAUCGGCCGCGACAACCGGCAACACUGGCACUCGGCCCAGCAGCCCCGGCCCUUUACCCUCUCGCCGCCGCCAAUGCUCUGCCGCGGCGCCCAGGCCGGCGCCCAGCGCCAGGGUCAAACCGGCCCGUAGCGCGCGCAUGCCUACCGGAGGACCAGCGCGCUACCUAAAGAAAAAAAAGCUACAGCAAAAAUGCGAAGGAGCCUGUGCCGUGUCCCCCACGCCCUUCAGCU